GCUUCUCUCUCACUCUUCAAGAAUCUUAAGAUGCUAUCGCUCAGAGGAUGUCAAAGACAACUGCCUGAAACUGAGAGGUCCCUCUUAUCUUUCUUGCCAGUUAAAGGCUCAAAUUUGAUGGGUUUUAGCUCUCUAAUAUGGUUAGAUCUUAGUUAUUGUGGUCUGCAGGAACAAAUAGUCCCUAACAAUUUCAGCUCCUUACCCUCAUUAUUGUCAUUAAAUCUGGAUGGAAACAAUUUCCACACCUUACCUGCAAGUAUCAAUGCAUUUCCUAAGCUCGAACAACUCCAUUUGGAUGAUUGCAAGAUGCUUCAAUCAUUGCAAAAACUUCCAUCAAACUUGAAUUUCGUAACAGCACAAGCAUGCACUUCAUUGGAAAUUUUAGACCUAUGCAGUUUGCAAUCUUUGCGAUUAAAUCUUUCUAAUUGCUUUAAGUUGGGUGGGAAUCAAACCCACAACAGCUUUGUGUUUACAAUGCUAAGAAAAUACCAGAAGGGGUGUCUCUCUUUCUCUCAUAGAGAAGAUCAAAGUUCUGCUAUGGUACCCCGGGAAUAUGGUUUAAAACCUGGAUUUGAUGUUGUUGUUCCUGGAAAUGAAAUUCCAGAGUGGUUCAGCCAUCAAAGCUUGUGGCUUUCUAAUGAUUACUGCUCUUCUGCAACUAUACAACUGCCACCAGGGUGGGUUGAUUGCAAGUGGAUGGGAUUUGCUGUUUUUGCCGUUUUUUUAAUUAAAGAUCGAGAUUCAUCUUGCUUCUAUGAUCUAGAUCUUGCAUGUUCUAUUAAAAUCAUGAACAAUACUUGGAAGCAUGUACUUGAUAGUCGUUGUUUAUCAAUGGUGCACUAUCUUGAAUCAGAUCACACUUGGCUUUUCUAUUUGUCUCGCAAUGAGUUAUUUGAUACAGUUUCCCAGGAUACAAUCAGGACAGCUAGUCACAUUGAGGUUAGGUUCAGUAUACAUGGUACAGCCUUGUAUGUGAAGAAAUUUGGGCUCCAUGUAGUAUACGAGGAAGAGGUGCUAGACUCCAGCCAAAUAAUUAUCAGUCCUGAAGAUGAGAAUUCAGGAGUGAGUGGUGGUGCCUUCAUUAAGCGAAGCCGUGAAGAUAGCUCUAAUUAUUCCAGUGGAAGAGGCUGCUUGGACAAAGAACCACAAGCUAAGAGAUCAAAAGAGCUCUAGUGAAGGUAUAGACAUCUUAUGCAUUAGCCCAAUUAACAGAAUUUUCCCUUGUCAUAUAUUGUUAUUGUCACUUGGAUUAUUGGUGGAACAAGACUUGUUUUUUCAGAAUUUUUCUUAGAUG
rnacentral:misc_RNA from 1 species